rnacentral:lncRNA from 1 species
AGCAAUCCAUCGCCUCUCACGGGGCCCCGCCCUCUUGCUUCCGAUUUGGAAUUCGGAAUUAGCCUUGCAGACUUCUCUUUUCUGUCCUCAUCGAAAAGACAGCCAGCUUUUGUAACCUUGCCUUGGGGAUGUUAGCAGGAGAAAUGUUGGCAAUUCAAGGCUCUUCUGGUUUUAUAAGAAAACCAGAUUUUGCUGGGAGGCCUGGAGUAGAAGAGAGGGUCUUGGAGAAGCAAACAUGGGAGGAGAGACAUUCCCAGAGAUCAGGAAGAGCAGGUUUGCUUCCAGAACACAGGUGUCAUGAAAACCACCCCUAAAAGCCAAAAUGGGAAAGAAAAAGACUCAUAUCAACAUUGUCACCAUUGGACACGUAGAUUCGAGCAGGUCCACCACUACUGGCCAUCCAAUCUACACACGUGGUGGCAUCAAGAAAGAACCACUGAAAAAUUUGAGAAGGAGGCUGCUGAGAUGGGAAAGAGUGUCUUCAACUAUUCCUGGGUAUUGGAUAAACUGAAUGCUGAGUGUGAAUGUGAUAUUACUCACCAUUGAUACCUCUGUUUGGAAAUUUGAGACCAGCAAGUGACUAUCGCUGUUGCCUUAGGCCACAGAGACUUUAUCAAAAACGUGAUUACAGGGACAUAUCAGGUGGGCUGUGUUGUCCUGAUUAUUGCUGCUGGUGUUGGCAACUUUGAAGCUGGUAUCUCCAAAACCGGACAGACCUGUGAUCAUGCCCUUCUG